GCAAUGGCGCGUGCUUACAAUGACAGUCGAACGAUGAAGCCCUUCGGGCUGGAUUAGUGGCGAACGGGUGAGUAACACGUGGGCAAUCUGCCCUUCACUCUGGGACAUGCCCUGGAAACGGGGUCUAAUACCGGAUACGACACGAGACGGCAUGGUCUUCGUGUGGAAAGCUCCGGCGGUGAAGGAUGAGCCCGCGGCCUAUCAGCAUGUUGGUGGGGUGAUGGCCUACCAAGGCGACGACGGGUAGCCGGCCUGAGAGGGCGACCGGCCACACUGGGACUGAGUCACGGCCCAGACUCCUACGGGAGGCAGCAGUGCGGAAUAUUGCACAAUGGGCGCAAGCCUGAUGCAGCGACGCCGCGUGAGGGAUGACGGCCUUGGGGUUGUAAACCUCUUUCAGCAGGGAAGAAGCGUGAGUGACGGUACCUGCAGAAGAAGCGCCGGCUAACUACGUGCCUGCAGCCGCGGUAAUACGUAGGGCGCAAGCGUUGUCCGGAAUUAUUGGGCGUAAUGAGCUCGUAGGCGGCUUGUCGCGUCGGUUGUGAAAGCCCCGAGCUUAACUCCGGGUCUGCAGUCGAUACGGGCAGGCUAGAGUUCGGUAGGGCAGAUCGGAAUUCCUGGUGUAGCGGUGAAUUGCGCAGAUAUCAGGAGGAACACCGGUGGCGAAGGCGGAUCUCUGCGCCGAUACUGACGCUGAGGAGCGAAAGCGUGGGGAGCGAACAGGAUUAGAUACCCUGGUAGUCCACGCCGUAAUCGGUGGGCACUAGGUGUGGGCGACAUUCCACGUCGUCCGUGCCGCAGCUAACGCAUUAAGUGCCCCGCCUGGCGAGUACGGCCGCAAGGCUAAAACUCAAAGGAAUUGACGCGGGCCCGCACAAGCGGCGGAGCAUGU
rnacentral:rRNA from 1 species